rnacentral:rRNA from 1 species
UACGUAGGUGGCAAGCGUUACUCGGAAUCACUAGGCGUAAAGCGCAGGUAGGCGGUUUGGUAAGUCUGUUGUGAAAGCUCCCGGCUCAACUGGGAGAGGCCAACGGAAACUGCCAGGCUAGAGUGUGGUAGAGGAAACUGGAAUUCCUGGUGUAGCGGUGAAAUGCGUAGAUAUCAGGAGGAACACCUAUGGCGAAAGCAGGUUUCUGGGCCAUCACUGACGCUGAGCUGCGAAAGCUAGGGGAGCAAACAGG